rnacentral:lncRNA from 1 species
GCUCGCGCGCGCGCGCGCCCGCGCACGUCACGCAUACAGCAGGUGUGAUCGAGAGAGAGAGUCGAAUACAGCAGGUGUGAUAGAGAGAGAGAGAGAGUCGAAUACAGCAGGUGUGAUAGAGAGAGAGAGAGUUCGAAUACAGCAGGUGUGAUAGAGAGAGAGAGAGAGUCGAAUACAGCAGGUGUGAUAGAGAGAGAGAGAGAGUCGAAUACAGCAGGUGUGAUAGAGAGAGAGAGAGUCGAUACAGCAGUGUGAUAGAGAGAGAGAGAGAGAGGUCAAAAUACAGCAGGGUGUGAUAGAGAGAGAGAGAGAGAGAGUCGAAUAACAGCAGGUGGUGAUAGAGAGAGAGCCAGAGAGUCGAAU